CCUACGGGGGGCAGCAGGCGCGAAAACUUUACAAUGCGGGAAACCGUGAUAAGGGGACACCGAGUGCCAGCGUCAUACGCUGGCUGUCCGGGUGUGUAAAAUACACCUGUUAGCAAGGGCCGGGCAAGACCGGUGCCAGCCGCCGCGGUAACACCGGCGGCCCGAGUGGUGAUCGUGAUUAUUGGGUCUAAAGGGUCCGUAGCCGGUUUGGUCAGUCCUCCGGGAAAUCUGAUAGCUUAACUAUUAGGCUUUCGGGGGAUACUGCCAGACUUGGAACCGGG
rnacentral:rRNA from 1 species